CUUAGCAAUCAACAAGGCAAAACAACGCAAAUAAAACUCCAUCAGAUGCCGAUACUCGUCCUGCAUUGGGGGCCAGUGCCAGAGAAGUGCAUCGACCCAAAAUGUUAUCCACGUUCGGAUGGCUACUGGAUGGCUGUUAUCAAUGCAAAACUCGUAUGUAUGCAUGUGUCCUGACAUGGCUGAAUCGCUUUUAAAUAACCAAACAAUAACUACAAGUGGAAUCAAACAAAAAGCAAUUUCGUUUGUUCCUGCUGCACUUUUAUUCACUCUUGCACGGUCAAAGAGGGGAAGCUGGAGGGAUGUCUUUAAUGAAGUCUACCAUUUGUAGUGUAGUGUUUGUAGCAGGGUGGAUCCCAGCCGCCAGAGAAGUUGUCCACGAAGCUGCUUCAAUUGUGGAUGUGUGGAAUUAGCAAUGCUUAACAGUCAGAGCGUCACUUUCUGCCAGCUUCUGACUGUUUCGAUCGAGAGCGCGAGCUGUCGCUAACAGCACUGUAGACGGGAGCGUUAACAGCACUGUAGACAGGGGAGCUAACAGCACUGUAGACUGGUGAGCAGUGCUGCUGUUCCGCUAG
rnacentral:lncRNA from 1 species